UAAGGAAUAUUGGACAAUGCCCGCAAGGGUGAUCCAGCCAUGCCGCGUGCAGGAAGAAGGCCCUAUGGGUCGUAAACUGCUUUUAUACAAGAGAAAACCCCGGUACGUGUACUGGGCUGAUAGUAUUGUAGGAAUAAGCAUCGGCUAACUUCGUGCCAGCAGCCGCGGUAAGACGAAGGAGGCAAGCGUUAUCCGGAUUCAUUGGGUUUAAAGGGCGCGUAGGCGGCCUUAUAAGUCAGUGGUGAAAUCUCUCGGCUUAACCGAGAAAUUGCCAUUGAUACUGUAGGGCUUGAGUACAGUUGCCGUUGGCGGAAUAUGACAUGUAGUGGUGAAAUACAUAGAGAUGUCAUAGAACACCGAUUGCGAAGGCAGCUAACGAAGCUGUAACUGACGCUGAGGCUCGAAAGUGCGGGGAUCAAAC
rnacentral:rRNA from 1 species